rnacentral:rRNA from 1 species
AGGACGAACGCUGGCGGCGUGCUUAACACAUGCAAGUCGAGCGGAAAGGCCCUUCGGGGUACUCGAGCGGCGAACGGGUGAGUAACACGUGAGUAACCUGCCCCUAGCUCUGGGAUAGCUCCGGGAAACCGGGAUUAAUACCAGAUACGACCACUUUAGACAUCUGUCGUGGUGGAAAGGAUUCCGGCUAGGGAUGGGCUCGCGGCCUAUCAGCUUGUUGGUGGGGUAACGGCCUACCAAGGCGACGACGGGUAGCCGGCCUGAGAGGGCGACCGGCCACACUGGGACUGAGACACGGCCCAGACUCCUACGGGAGGCAGCAGUGGGGAAUAUUGCGCAAUGGGCGAAAGCCUGACGCAGCGACGCCGCGUGGGGAUGAAGGCCUUCGGGUUGUAAACCCCUUUCAGCAGGGACGAAGCGAAAGUGACGGUACCUGCAGAAGAAGCGCCGGCUAACUACGUGCCAGCAGCCGC